GGCACCACCAGGGAGUGGAGCCUGCGGUUUAAUUUGACUCAACACAAUCUAAACUCACCCGGCCCGGACACUGGUUGGAUGAAUGGACUGACUUUUCUUUCUUGAUGCAGGGGGUGGCGUGGCAUGGCCGAUCUUAGUUGGCGGAUUGAUUUGUCUGGUUAAUUCCCAUAACGAACUCUACUCUGUGGAUUUACUGCGGCGCUUUCUUGGUCUGCUGUCGGUGUGCUGCCUUUCGCGAGGCGGCGCGCUGGCGACCGACCGAUCGAGAGCACGCCCGCUUAAACCCCACUGGUGGUGAGGAAUCCGCACGAAAUGCACUAAUAACAGGUCUGUGAUGCCCUUGCAUGUCCGGGGCCGCACGCGCGCUACACUGACAGGUGAAGCGAGCGUGGAGUGUACCCGCGCCUAGCGUCACGGAGAACCCCGAAAGCCUUUCGAGAUUGGGAUAGGGUUUUGCAACUCUCGUCCUUGAACGAGGAAUUCCCAGUAGGCGCGACUCAUCAAGUCGCGUCGAUUACG
rnacentral:rRNA from 1 species